rnacentral:lncRNA from 1 species
CCUGGUGGGGACGGGGUACUCGGGGAAGAGCUUGGCGAGGAUGCGGACGACGUCCUCGCGGUGGAGGACGCGCUCGGCGCAGAGGUAUCGGCCGGACGCGGCGGGGCUCUCGAAGACGCGGAGGUGCGCGUCGGCGACGUCGCGGACGUCCACGUACGCCUGCACGGCGUUGGCGAAGGUGCGCGCGGAGCCGUCCAGGUACUUGAGCACGUGCGCGAUGCUGGCGUUCACCGUCGGCUGCAGCAGCGGGCCCACCACCAGCACCGGGUUCACCACCACCAGGUCCACGCCGCGCUGCCGGG